rnacentral:lncRNA from 1 species
AUGCGCGCGGCCCGCGCUGACUCCGAACGAGGCGUCGGCGGCGUCCGCAUCCCAGUGCCCGGGAUCGUCCUCACCGUCCACGUCCGCGUCGCCAUCGCCGUCCACCCCCGCCUCCUCCUCCUCCUGCGCCUCCGCCUCAUCCCAGCUGCGCGGGGAUGCGCUGCCUGCGGCGGCUGCAGCCGCUGGUCUCUUCCCCAUACCCUUUCUGGCGGGGCUGCUGGAGCGGGCCACCGGGAAGUCCGGGAUAAGGCGCGCACCGCUGGGCGUGGGCGGUGCGUCGUAGCUCUCACGGCUCUCGGUCUCGCCGCCGUCAUCGCCCUCCUCGCCCUCGCCUUCGCUGCUUUCGGCCGCCGUCGGGGUGGCGGGCUGCUUCAGCGCCGAGCUCUCCGACAG